UCGCUCGCUCCUUCUGCACGCGCCUUCUGCUCUGUCAACAACACGGUCUCUAAACAUUUACUCUCCAUGCUUCCCAACACUUUAUCAGCGACGCUAAACCAGAAAGUAUACGACUGAAGAGGCACCAUGGUCCAUAAGGCUUUUCUGAAGGUAAAAGAAGGACACUUUGUGGCGGUCAAAAUGGAUUCUAAUGCUGGACUGGAGCUAUGUGUGGUCGAAUUUAAAGAAGACGCACCUUCAGUGAAAAUAUGGAAACGUGUAAAAGGAACGAAAAAUCAGAUUGCUUUUAGUUUCCUGAGAGAUGGCGCUGACUAUUCCCCGAAGGUGAAAGAAAAAAAG